UAUUAUUUUAAUAUAGUUAGUGGGAAAUGUGUGAAGGGGUGGGGUUGGGGGAGAGUAGGGGUUGAAUUUUUAAUUAUUUUUUGUAUGGAGUAGGGGGUAGGUGGGUUAAUAGGGGUGGAGUGAGAAAUAAUAUAAUAUUGUUAGAAUAUUUCCAUUUUUAGAAACAGGUCAAGUAUUAAGGGACGGCCCGAUAAGGAAAACAUGUCAAGUAUUCCGGGACGGAGGGAGUACUAGAUAUUAAUUAUUAUUAUUCAUAUAUUAUUUCCUUCAAAAAAAAAAAAGCUUUAUGAUUCAUAUAUUCUCGGACCUUGACAGUUUAUCAGUUCAUUCACAACACCAUUAACGGAAAAACACCAACCCAUGCCAAUUUAUCGUCCACAUCUAAAUUCUUAAGCAACAACAUAUUCUAGUCAUUUUUCAAGCUAUAUGCACAGAUAACUUCUAAUUUUCUCCUUUCUCCCUCCCAUGCGUUCUAAUUAGAUCUGGAAUUUAAAAUUAGUGAAUUCCGAUCUAUAACCACAAGAUCUUCUCUCCUUUAUUUUUUUUUAUCUCAAUUGUUAUUUUCUAAAUCUCUCCAAUUUAAUGUAUUUUUUUGCGAAUUGUUGAGGAAUUUGCAAAUUUUUCGAUUUCUUGCGAUGGGAAAAGAGAAGCAGGCUCGCUUGGAUUUUGAGUGAUUGGUGGCGACAAGGUGGUGGAAGGAGGAUAGAGAAAACAUCGAUGCCUGAUGCUGCAGAUGCGGGUGUUGGAGGCUCCGCUUUUGAUCCGAAUCUGGAACAACACGUCGUCGGCUCUUAGAUCUGGAUCGGGUUUCGGUUCAUCUCCAAAGUCCAAAUCCUCUAUAUUGCAUCAGCUUCAUUUGCUGCGGCAGAGAAUAAUUAAACAAUCCACUUCUUCUUUUUUCAUGCAAAACCAUUAAAUUAAAAAGCUAACAUAAUACAACCAUAACAAUCAGGGAGGUAUCAUCAAAAUAAAGACGACGUCGGCUUCACAUUUUUGGGAAAUUAUAUUUGGUACCAUCAUCAGCUUCAUCUUAAUGUCACAACUCAAAAGAAAGAAUCAUGUUUUGUUCGUGAUUAUGUUCAAAGAUCCAUCUUGUAUUUGCUUCUUUGUUUUUCUAUCAUUCAAAUUAAUUUCAUUUAAUAAUACUGGAAUACUUGUAUCAUUUUCAGAUGAAUGAAUUAUAUUUUUCCAUUUUA